UGGAAUUAACAGAUAUGAUCAAUAUCAUUAGAAUGCAUUUUUAUUAAAUUGGCGUAAUUGACAGCAAAAUUAUGACCCACACAACUGUACCUCCAUUAUAUUUCAGUGUUGUAACUGUACUGUGGAACCAUCAAACAUUGAUAAAACAAUGCCAUGAACAGAUAACAACGUGACUUGUCAAACAGUGUCUUGGAUGUGGCUGCUUUCAAUGGGAAAUCUUCAUCUUCUGUGUUCAGAUCAGCAACUAGCGUCUAAUUUCACUGUCAGUGCUUCCUAUUUUCUUCUUCUCCCUCAAAUUUUAUUUAUUUUUCUCUUUCUAUUUUCUCCUCCUUCUGUUUAAGGCACUUUCUGAGAAGGAGCAUGAUGAUAAUUGCCAUAUAUUACUAUUUGUGUAAUUGGGCAACCUCACAUGAACAUCAUAAUUGAACAUCAUAAUUGAGUCUGGUUUCUAUAACUCCCCUCACUGUAGACAGGGUUACUAUGAGAGUCCACAGUACAAGAUGAUGAUGCAACAAAAUAUCUAUUUACCAUAUUAUGUUGACUUUUUUUCACAUACAUAGACUUAAAACUUUAAAUCGUUGAUCUUAAUAUGUAACAUGGUCUAACUGAUACAUUAUUUACGGCACCAAAUACGCUUUAAACAUCAGUAGGACACUGCAGCAGUUCUUUUAGGUAGCAACUGCACCAUUAACUUUUCUGUGCACCACCAACCAGAGAUCUUGUGAUUGUAUCAUCA
rnacentral:lncRNA from 1 species